rnacentral:rRNA from 1 species
GCUACGUGGUUUGUUAAGUUGGAUGUGAAAUCCCCGGGCUCAACCUGGGAACUGCAUUCAAAACUGACAGACUAGAGUAUGGUAGAGGGUGGUGGAAUUUCCUGUGUAGCGGUGAAAUGCGUAGAUAUAGGAAGGAACACCAGUGGCGAAGGCGACCACCUGGACUGAUACUGACACUGAGGUGCGAAAGCGUGGGGAGAAAACAGGAUUAGAUACCCUGGUAGUCCACGACGUAAACGAUGUCAACUAGACGUUGGGAGCCUUGAGAUCUUAGUGGCGCAGCUAACGCAUUAAGUUGACCGCCUGGGGAGUACGGCCGCAAGGUUAAAACUCAAAUGAAUUGACGGGGGCCCGCACAAGCGGUGGAGAAUGUGGUUUAAUUCGAAGCAACGCGAAGAACCUUACCAGGCCUUGANAUUCACCGAACUUUCCAGAGAUGGAUUGGUGCCUUCGGGAACAUUGAGACAAGUGCUGCAUGGCUGUCGUCAGCUCGUGUCGUGAGAUGUUGGGUUAAGUCCCGUAACGAGAGCAACCCUUGUACUUAGUUACCAGCA